GAUGAACGCUGGCGGCGCGCCUAACACAUGCAAGUCGAACGAUUAAAGCACCUUCGGGUGUGUAUAAAGUGGCGAACGGCUGAGUAACACGUGGGCAACCUGCCCCUCUCAUUGGGAUAGCCACGGGAAACCGUGGAUAAUACCGAAUACUUCGGGACUUCCGCAUGGAAGACUCGAGAAAGCUCCGGCGGAGAGGGAUGGGCCCGCGGCCUGUUAGCUUGUUGGUGGGGUAAUGGCCUACCAAGGCAAUGAUGGGUAGCUGGGUUGAGAGACCGACCAGCCAGAUUGGGACUGAGAGACGGCCCAGACUCCUACGGGAGGCAGCAGUGGGGAAUCUUGCACAAUGGGCGAAAGCCUGAUGCAGCGACGCCGCGUGCGGGAUGAAGGCCUUCGGGUUGUAAACCGCUUUCAGCAGGGACGAGGCGAAAGUGACGGUACCUGCAGAAGAAGCCCCGGCUAACUACGUG
rnacentral:rRNA from 1 species